UACGUAGGGGGCAAGCGUUGUCCGGAAUCAUUGGGCGUAAAGCGCGUGUAGGCGGCUGGGCAAGUCCGCUCUGAAAGCCCGAAGGCUCGAACCUCGGGAGGCGGAGUGGAUACUGCUCAAGCUCGAGUCCGGAAGAGGAGUGUGGAAUUCCUGGUGUAGCGGUGAAAUGCGCAGAUAUCAGGAGGAACACCAAUUGCGAAGGCAGCACUCUGGGACGUGACUGACGCUGAGACGCGAAAGCGUGGGGAGCAAACAGG
rnacentral:rRNA from 1 species